rnacentral:rRNA from 1 species
ACGAACGCUGGCGGCGUGCUUAACACAUGCAAGUCGAGCGGUAAGGCCCUUCGGGGUACACGAGCGGCGAACGGGUGAGUAACACGUGGGUGAUCUGCCUCGCACUUCGGGAUAAGCCUGGGAAACUGGGUCUAAUACCGGAUAUGACCUGCUGUCGCAUGGCGGUGGGUGGAAAGAUUUAUCGGUGCGAGAUGGNCCCGCGGCCUAUCAGCUUGUUGGUGGGGUAAUGGCCUACCAAGGCGACGACGGGUAGCCGGCCUGAGAGGGCGACCGGCCACACUGGGACUGAGACACGGCCCAGACUCCUACGGGAGGCAGCAGUGGGGAAUAUUGCACAAUGGGCGAAAGCCUGAUGCAGCGACGCCGCGUGAGGGAUGACGGCCUUCGGGUUGUAAACCUCUUUCGACAGGGACGAAGCGCAAGUGACGGUACCUGUAGAAGAAGCACCGGCCAACUACGUGCCAGCAGCCGCGGUAAUACGUAGGGUGCGAGCGUUGUCCGGAAUUACUGGGCGUAAAGAGCUUGUAGGCGGUUUGUCGCGUCGUCUGUGAAAACUCNCAGCUCAACUGUGAGCUUGCAGGCGAUACGGGCAGACUUGAGUACUGCAGGGGAGACUGGAAUUCCUGGUGUAGCGGUGAAAUGCGCAGAUAUCAGGAGGAACACCGGUGGCGAAGGCGGGUCUCUGGGCAGUAACUGACGCUGAGAAGCGAAAGCGUGGGUAGCGAACAGGAUUAGAUACCCUGGUAGUCCACGNCGUAAACGGUGGGCGCUAGGUGUGGGUUUCCUUCCACGGGAUCCGUGCCGUAGCUAACGCAUUAAGCGCCCNGCCUGGGGAGUACGGCCGCAAGGCUAAAACUCAAAGGAAUUGACGGGGGCCCGCACAAGCGGCGGAGCAUGUGGAUUAAUUCGAUGCAACGCGAAGAACCUUACCUGGGUUUGACAUACACCGGAAACCUGCAGAGAUGUAGGCCCCCUUGUGGUCGGUGUACAGGUGGUGCAUGGCUGUCGUCAGCUCGUGUCGUGAGAUGUUGGGUUAAGUCCCGCAACGAGCGCAACCCUUGUCCUGUGUUGCCAGCGCGUAAUGGCGGGGACUCGCAGGAGACUGCCGGGGUCAACUCGGAGGAAGGUGGGGACGACGUCAAGUCAUCAUGCCCCUUAUGUCCAGGGCUUCACACAUGCUACAAUGGCCGGUACAGAGGGCUGCGAUACCGUGAGGUGGAGCGAAUCCCUUAAAGCCGGUCUCAGUUCGGAUCGGGGUCUGCAACUCGACCCCGUGAAGUUGGAGUCGCUAGUAAUCGCAGAUCAGCAACGCUGCGGU